rnacentral:lncRNA from 1 species
AAUAAUGGGGUCCAGCAGUGGUGUAUGGUUUAAUUCAACUAUAUUCUAAAGUAUGAAUAUGCCAUAUUAGCAGUUUUAGUUGCAUCAGUUGGUGCACCUACAUUGUAUGCACAAUCAUCAAAUCAUAGCUGAAACUAUCUUAAGUGGUGUAAUUAUUUGUUGUAAGUUAUAUUACAAUAAAUCCUGAUGUUGUUAUAAUGGCCUAGCAAUGAUACAACAUUUUUUGAAGCCUGUAUGGUU